rnacentral:lncRNA from 1 species
GGCAAGAAGUUUGAUGCUGAAGCAGCUUCAAAAAUCUGCAUGUAAAUCAAGAAAAUUAAGGAUCUGGUAGGCAGAUGCAACGAUUAAAUGAUAGUGCAAUCAGGAGGCCAUUAGACAAACAAAGGGUUGAAGACCCUAGAAAUGAAAGGUGUAUGCCUACUACCCAACUGGUAGAUGAAUUAUAAUUGGUUAUUAACCAUAUGCUUAUAUGAGCAGAAAUAUUAACAGAAUGCUGUUAUGUGCAACCUCCAGUGAUCCAUAAAGUGUUAGAUAAAUAGUGAGCACAGUCUUGGUUCGGCUAAAGUCUCAAUGUCACUUCUCAAAGUUAUAGUGCUUUCAACAUUGGCUGCAAUUGAGAGGAUUCCUUCAAUGAAUAAUCCCCAAUGAGGAGAUUCCGUCUCAUGCUUAGUUAAUGUUGAAAUAUAAAGCUUGUCGGAGUGAGUGAAUCGAGAAGCUGCCGCACAAGCUGUAAGCAGGUCUCCGGCCACUCACUCUGUAGUGUUGUCACACAAGAUAAGCACGCCGCUCCUCAUCAUUAGCUCAUUGGCUUUCUUUAUGAUAGCUUUCUCCCCCCUCAAUGCAGACUAUCCUGUUGAUAGUUAGCUAAAAGCAACCAGAGGAGGUUGAGUUGUGACAAGCUAUAUGGCUGUGACAUGGGGAGCGCGAAGGAGCUUUCAACGGAAGAUGCUAAGAUUACUCUUUUUUCAUAAAAAAUUAUUUGCAAGAAAAUAAUAAUUAGUUCGAUUUACUGGAUAACAAUUUAGUUAUAACAAACAAAACACGUAAUAGACACGUAAAAAGUAAAUCUGUUCUUAUGGUGUGUUCAUUUCUGGGUUUCCAGAAUGUUGACAAACAGGUAUGUAGUCUUAUAAGGCAUGUAAAUAACAAAACUUUUAAAAGUAAAUUCAGUGUACGUAGGAAGAUUACACAAAACUUACAGCCACACAGUAUUCUCUGCCUUUUACCAAAACUUUUGAAAUGGAAAAAAGCAAAGUUGGGAUAGGGAGGGAAAAGAAAGGGGUGUCUGCAUAAACACUGAUGGUAGAUGAUUUAAUUUAACUGAAUAUCUAUAUAUAUGUGAGUGUGUGUGUAUUUAUAUAAACUGGUGGUGCAAUUUUGUCCACAACUAAAACUUUUAUACAAUUCAACUUUUGACCUAAGCCCAGCUAAUGAAUAGCUAAUAUUGAUAGCUUUUACCCAGCAUGAAAUAGCAUGAAGUGUAUACUAUAUGCUUCAGGUCCUUAAAAUGCAUAAGCUACACCAAAUUCUUACAUCCAAUACAUUUUGAGCAUGUAACUUGAUUAGUAAAGACAAAUCAAUUGCAUACAAAAUCCAAUAAUUGAGCAUGAUGAAUGUAGUAUACGAAAAAUCUUACAUGAAUUUAUGUGCAGCCUCCUGACAAAAGAAGUCUUCAAUGGCAUUGAUGCCUCAUUUAGAACUUUAUUUCCUAACAAAGUUACAACCUUUCUUCCAGUUUAAUAGAUAAAGAAGCCUAGCAGUGACCACAAGGACAUUCAGUAAAUUACCAGAAAGACGUUAUCUCAGGUCAUGAGGAUUAAAUAGAGGCAUUUAAGGUAUCAAAACUGUAUUCCUCC